UGGAACUGUCCUACUCAAUUUACAUAAUUAUUUACAAAUUUCUUAAAAAUGUAAAAAACAGAUCGACCGAAUUUGAAUACAAUGGAAAAAAUUUGGGGCAGAGUGCAAAAUGCAGGAUAGUUUAGAUACGCUAAAUACUUUUUCAUAAAUAUUCUAUGCCAAAACUGAUGUGUUUCUUAUAUGCCAUAAAAUACAGUAGUAAUUAUUUUCUAUAUACAUUUUAAUUUUAAAGAAAAUUUUAUUUUACAGGUAUUUUGCCAACAAUGAACAGCUAAUCCAAAGACUGUCCGAGUCCUAUCCGAUUCGAAGAGCCGCACAGAUUACAAUAUUUAUGUUUGCUAGAAGUAAAGAACUGUUUGAAAUAUUCAAUUCUCGAAAUUUUAGGGACAUUUCUAAUUUAAAGCAGACUGCGCAAAGGUUAAGAGAUUUUCCAAAGAGAUUAAAACAUGAAUUAAAGGAAGGAUUUCGACAGGCAAAUGAAGAA